rnacentral:rRNA from 1 species
UCAGGACGAACGCUGGCGGCAUGCUCAUACAUGCAAGUCGAACGAUAAGGUCUCUUCGGAGAUACAUAAGUGGCGGACGGGUGAGUAAUAUGUAGGAAAUCUGCCCUAGAGAGGGGGACAACAGAGGGAAACUUCUGCUAAUACCCCAUAUGAGCGUACCUGAAAUGGUAUUCUUGAAAACUCCGGUGCUCUAGGAUGAGCCUGCAUCUGAUUAGCUUGUUGGCGGUGUAAUGGACCACCAAGGCGACGAUCAGUAGCUGGUUUGAGAGGAUGAUCAGCCACAAUGGGACUGAGACACGGCCCAUACUCCUACGGGAGGCAGCAGUAGGGAAUUUUGCGCAAUGGGCGAAAGCCUGACGCAAGCAAUGCCGCGUGAACGCAGAAGCCCUUCGGGGUGUAAAGUUCUGUCAGUGGGGACGAAUAAUGACGGUACCCACAGAGGAAGCACCGGCUAACUCCGUGCCAGCAGCGGC